rnacentral:rRNA from 1 species
CGCCUCUUGAUUAAAUAUAAGAGGUCCAGCCUGCCCAGUGACCAUGUUCAACGGCCGCGGUAUCCUAACCGUGCGAAGGUAGCGUAAUCACUUGUUCUUUAAAUAAGGACUAGUAUGAACGGCACCACGAAGGUUAUACUGUCUCCUAUUUCUAAUCAGUGAAACUAAUCUCCCCGUGAAGAAGCGAGGAUAAGUAUAUAAGACGAGAAGACCCUAUGGAGCUUCAAACUAUCAAAGCACUUGCUAAAACACUAACAAAUUCCAGAAAAAUAUUCACACUCAAGCAAGAUUGACCUUUAGUUUUAGGUUGGGGUGACCACGGAGAAAAAAACAACCUCCAUAUUGAAAGGAACCCACUCCUUAGCCAAGAGCAACACCUCUACGCACCAAUAAAAAGACAUUAAUUGACCCAAUAUUUUGAUCAACGAACCAAGUUACCCUAGGGAUAACAGCGCAAUCCAUUUCAAGAGCCCCUAUCGACAAGUGGGUUUACGACCUCGAUGUUGGAUCAGGGUAUCCCGGUGGUGCAGCCGCUACCAAAGGUUCGUUUGUUCAACGAUUAAAACCCU